rnacentral:rRNA from 1 species
GCGCACGCAGGCGGUCUGUUAAGUCAGAUGUGAAAUCCCCGGGCUUAACCUGGGAACUGCAUUUGAAACUGGCAGGCUUGAGUCUCGUAGAGGGGGGUAGAAUUCCAGGUGUAGCGGUGAAAUGCGUAGAGAUCUGGAGGAAUACCGGUGGCGAAGGCGGCCCCCUGGACGAAGACUGACGCUCAGGUGCGAAAGCGUGGGGAGCAAACAGGAUUAGAUACCCUGGUAGUCCACGCCGUAAACGAUGUCGACUUGGAGGUUGUGCCCUUGAGGCGUGGCUUCCGGAGCUAACGCGUUAAGUCGACCGCCUGGGGAGUACGGCCGCAAGGUUAAAACUCAAAUGAAUUGACGGGGGCCCGCACAAGCGGUGGAGCAUGUGGUUUAAUUCGAUGCAACGCGAAGAACCUUACCUGGCCUUGACAUCCAGAGAACUUAGCAGAGAUGCUUUGGUGCCUUCGGGAACUCUGAGACAGGUGCUGCAUGGCUGUCGUCAGCUCGUGUUGUGAAAUGUUGGGUUAAGUCCCGCAACGAGCGCAACCCUUAUCCUUUGUUGCCAGCGGUUCGGCCGGGAACUCAAAGGAGACUGCCGGUGAUAAACCGGA